UACGUAGGGUGCGAGCGUUGUCCGGAAUUAUUGGGCGUAAAGAGCUCGUAGGCGGUUCGUCGCGUCGAAUGUGAAAUCCCGGGGCUCAACUCCGGGUCUGCAUUCGAUACGGGCGGACUAGAGUUCGGUAGGGGAGACUGGAAUUCCUGGUGUAGCGGUGAAAUGCGCAGAUAUCAGGAGGAACACCGGUGGCGAAGGCGGGUCUCUGGACCAUUGCUGACGCUGAGACACGAAAGCGUGGGUAGCAAACAGG
rnacentral:rRNA from 1 species